rnacentral:rRNA from 1 species
CCUACGGGAGGCAGCAGUGAGGAAUAUUGGUCAAUGGACGAAAGUCUGAACCAGCCAUGCCGCGUGCAGGAAGACGGCCCUAUGAGUUGUAAACUUCUUUUGUACGGGAGUAAACUCGCAUACGUGUAUCUUUCUGUACGUAUCGUACGAAUAAGGAUCGGCUAACUCCGUGCCAGCAGCCGCGGUAAUACGGAGGAUUCGAGCGUUAUCCGGAUUUAUUGGGUUUAAAGGGUGCGUAGGCGGUCGGUUAAGUUAGAGGUGAAAUCCCGAGGCUCAACUUCGGAAUUGCCGUUGAUACUGGUAGGCUAGAGAGUAGUUGCGGUAGGCGGAAUGCAUGGUGAAGCGGUGAAAUGCUUAGAGAUAAGAAAGAACACCGAUUGCGAAGGCAGCUUACUAAGCUACGACUGACGCUGAGGCACGAAAGCGUGGGGAGCAAACAGGAUUAGAUACCCGGGUAGUC